GAUGAACGCUGGCGGCGUGCCUAAUACAUGCAAGUCGAGCGAACAGACGAGGAGCUUGCUCCUCUGACGUUAGCGGCGGACGGGUGAGUAACACGUGGAUAACCUACCUAUAAGACUGGGAUAACUUCGGGAAACCGGAGCUAAUACCGGAUAAUAUAUUGAACCGCAUGGUUCAAUAGUGAAAUACGGUUUUUCUGUCACUUAUAGAUGGAUCCGCGCUGCAUUAGCUAGUUGGUAAGGUAACGGCUUACCAAGGCAACGAUGCGUAGCCGACCUGAGAGGGGGAUAGGCCACACGGGAACUGAGACACGGUCAAGACGCCUACGGGAGGCAGCAGUAGGGAAUCUUACGCAAUGGGCGAAAGCCUGACGGAGCAACGCCGAGUGAGUGAUGAAGGUCUUCGGAUCGUAAAACUCUGUUAUUAGGGAAGAACAAAUGUGUAAGUAACUAUGCACGUCUUGACGGUACCUAAUCAGAAAGCCACGGCUAACUACGUG
rnacentral:rRNA from 1 species